AAGUACGAUCAUAACAUCACUAAUGCACCGGAUCCCAUGAGAACUCCGCAGUUAAGCGUGCUUGGGCGAGAUUAGUACUAGGAUGGGUGACUUGGUAAGAAAUCCUCGUGUUGCACCCC
rnacentral:rRNA from 1 species